GAAUAAGCUUGGUUGGGUUGUUGCUGGCUCUUCGGAGCAUGUGCACGCCUAACACCAACCUUUUUACCACCUGUGCACCUUUUGUAGACCUGGAUAUCUCUCGAGGAAACUCGGUAUGAGGACUGCUGUGCGUCAAGCCGGCUUUCCUUACAUUUCCGGUCUAUGUUUUUAUAUACACCUUCAGCAUGUCUAUGAAUGUUAUUAUUGGGCUUAACUGUCCUAUAAACUUAUACAACUUUCAACAACGGAUCUCUUGGCUCU
rnacentral:misc_RNA from 1 species